CUGGUUCUAACCGCAUGUCAUGAUGUCAAACCGUCAGUGUUAACACAAUAGUGGAUGAAGAUUAUCAGUGUUUAAUGACUGAAAUUUCAUAGGUUCAUCACACAGAGCUGUAUGACUGUAUUCAACCAAUCAAACAUUAUCACAUAGACGAUGACUAUGUAAAAAAUGCAAAUAAUACAACUGCAAAUUUAGUGGUACCUGCAAUGAUGCCAUCCAUCUGCUCCAGAGCAGCUGCCAACAUUUCACUGGCAUCACACAUCAUGAUCACCUUCUUUGAAACCUGCAAAUGAGACAUUCAAAGAAUGGGAGGGCUCGUGUGUGGGAUAAUGGCACAAUUCUCCCAGGACCUUUCUGCACUGUGCGUUGGAAUGCUCGGAAUUCCAGACCUUCAAAACAAAGUCCCACAGGCUUCAUGUCAUGUUAUUGCCAUUGGCUUACAGCUCAAGAGAAGCUUCCCUACUCCACCCAAGAGGUUGGAUUCCUGAAUGAAUCCUGGA